rnacentral:lncRNA from 1 species
UUUUGGGGGCUGUUUGGCACACGGUUUUCUCUCUCUCUCGGCGCAGCCCUGCCCUUCUUCCUCCUCCUCUCUGUCGGUGCUUGGCGAAACCAUGCCGGGAGACCUCGUCUCUCCAUCGACACCACGCCGUCGUGCUGCUGGAGUUCUUCCCCAACCUCUCCCUCCUCCUUGCUAGAUCAAGGUGUGGGAGACGUCACCAGGUUGCACGUGUGUUGAACGCGGAGGUGCCGUAGUUCGGCACUAGAUCGGAAUUACACCGCGAUCGGAAUCGCCGCGAGUACGACUCCAUCAACCGCGUUCUAGUAACGCUUCUGCUUAGCAAUCUUCAAAGGUAUGAAGAUGCACUCACCCUCUCUCGUUGCUGGUCUCUCCAUAGGAAGGUCUGAAUAUGCGUAGGAAAUUUUUUGAAUUUAUGCUACGUUACCCAACAGUGGUAUCAGAGCCAGCUUUUCUAUGCGUAGAUUCUAUGCACGAAUAGAACACAAAAGGUUGUGGGCGAUGAUUUGUCAAUUGCUUGCCGCUACUAGUCUUAUUCUUUUCCAGCGGUAUUGUGGGAUGAAGCGGCCCGGACCGACCUUACAUGUACGCUUACGUGAGACUGGUUCCACCGACAGACAUGCACACCGUGCAUAAAGGUGGCUAGCGGGUGUCUGUCUCUCCUACCCUAGUCGGAUUGGAUUUGAUGAAAAGGGUCCUUAUGAAGGGUAAAUAUCUUUGGCAUAUCAUCGUUGUGGCUGUCACAUAGGUAAGAAAGCGUUCUUGCUAGAAACCCAAAUCAGCCACGUAAAACUUGCAACAACAAUUAGAGGACGUCUAACUUGUUUUUGCAGGGUUUGACAUGUGAUGUGAUAUGGCCAAAGUUGUGAUGUUGCAUGUGUGAUGUAUGAGCUGAUCAUGUUAUUGUAAUAGGUUUCACGACUUGCAUGUCGAUGAGUAUGAAAAUCGGCAGGAGCCAUAGGAUUUGUCUUAAUUUAUUGUAUGAGAUGCAACGCCAUGUGCUUACUACUUUUACUUCAUUGCUAACGGUUAGCUUUAGUAGUAGUGAUAGUAGUAGUUGGCGUGAUGACUUCACGGAGACACGAUGAUGAAGAUCAUGAUGAUGGAGAUCAUGGUGUCACGCCGGUGACGAUGAUGAUCAUGCGAUGCCUGAAGAUGGAGAUCGAAAGAGCAAAGAUGAUAAUGGCCAUAUCAUGUCACUAUAUGAUUGCAUUGUGAUGUUUAUCAUGUUUUUCAUCUUAUUGCUUAGAACAACGGUAGCAUAAUAAGAUGAUCCCUCUUAAAAUUUCAAGAACGUAUUCCCCUAAGUGUGCACCAUUGCGAAGGAUCGUUGUCUCGAAGCACCACGUGAUGAUCGGGUGUGAUAGAUUCUAACGUUCGCAUACAACGSRYGUMAGCCAGAUUUACACACGCGAAACACCUAGGUUGACUCGACGAGCUUAGCAUGUACAGACAUGACCUCGAAUACAAGAGACCGAAAGGUCGAACAUGAGUCGUAUGGUUGAAUACGAUCAGCAUGAAGUUGCUCACCAUGGUGACUAGUCCGUCUCACGUGAUGAUCGGACACGGGUUAGUCAACAUGGAUCAUGUAUCACUUAGAUGACUAGAGGGAUGUCAAUUUAAGUGGGAGUUCAUACUUAAUUUGAUUAAAUGAACUUAAUUGUCAUGAACUUAGUCUAAAAGUUGUCUUUAUUAAUAUUGUAGAUGUCCAACGUCAACCUCAACUUCAACGCAUUCCUAGAGAAAAACAAGCUGAAAGAUGAUGGUAGCAACUAUGCGGACUGGGUUCGCAACCUGAAGCUCAUCCUUGAAGCAGCUAAAAAGGCUUAUGUCCUUAAUGCGCCGCUAGGUGACCCUCCCGCUCCCGCAGCAGCCCAGGACGUUCUAAACGUCUGGCAAGCGCGGAGUGAUGACUACUCUGUGGUCAGGUGUGGCAUGUUAUACAGUUUAGAAACGGGGCUCCAAAGACGUUUUGAGCAACACGGGGCAUAUGAGAUGUUCCAAGAGCUGAAGCUAGUUUUUCAAGCUCAUGCCCGUGUCGAGAGAUAUGAAGUCUCCGACAAGUUCUUCAGUUGUAAGAUGGAGGAGAACAGUUCUGUCAGUGAGCACAUACUCAAAAUGUGUGGGUUACACGGUCGUCUGACUUCACUUGGAGUCGAACUUCCGGAUGAUGCUAUCAUUGACAGAAUCCUCCAGUCUCUCCCACCAAGCUACAAAGGCUUUGUGCUUAACUACAACAUGCAAGGGAUGGAGAAAACCAUUCCCGAGUUGUACUCGAUGCUCAAGUCUGCAGAAGUAGAAAUCAAGAAGGAGCAUCAAGUGUUGAUGGUCAACAAGACCACUAGUUUCAAGAAAGGCAGGGGUAAGAAGAACUUCAAGAAAGACGGCAAAGCUGUUGCCACGCCCGGUAAGCCAGAUGCCGGGAAGAAGAAAAAGAACGGACCCAAGCCUGAGACUGAGUGCUUCUACUGCAAGGGAAAAGGUCACUGGAAGCGGAACUGCCCCAAAUACUUAGCGGACAAGAAGGCCGGCAACGUUAAAGGUAUAUGUGAUAUACAUGUUAUUGAUGUGUACCUUACCAGCGCUCGUAGUAGCUCCUGGGUAUUUGAUACCGGUGCUGUUGCUCACAUUUGCAACUCAAAGCAGGAACUGCGGAAUAAGCGGAGACUGGCCAAGGACGAGGUGACGAUGCGCGUCGGGAAUGGUUCAAAGGUCGAUGUGAUCGCCGUCGGCACGCUACCUCUACAUCUACCGUCGGGAUUAGUUUUAAACCUUAAUAAUUGUUAUUUACUACCAGCUUUAAGCAUGAACAUUGUAUCAGGGUCUUGCUUAAUGCGAGACGGCUACUCAUUUAAGUCAGAGAAUAAUGGUUGUUCUAUUUAUAUGAGUGAUAUGUUUUAUGGUCAUGCUCCGCUGGUGAAUGGUUUAUUCUUGAUGAAUCUCGAUCGUGAUGUUACGAAUAUUCAUAGUGUGAGUACCAAAAGAUGUAAAGUUGAUAAUGAUAGUCCCACAUACUUGUGGCACUGCCGCCUUGGUCAUAUCGGCAUUAAGCGCAUGAAGAAGCUCCAUAUUGAUGGACUUUGAAUCAUUUGACACAUGCGAACCGUGCCUCAUGGGGAAUAUGACUAAGACUCCAUUCUCAGGAAUAAUGGAGAGAGCAACCGACUUAUUGGAAAUAAUACAUACCGAUGUGUGUGGUCCAAUGAACGCUGAAGCUCGUCGUGGUUAUCGUUAUGUUCUCACUCUCACCGAUGACUUGAGUAGGUAUGGGUAUAUCUACUUGAUGAAGCACAAAUCUGAGACGUUUGAAAAGUUCAAGGAAUUUCAGAGUGAGGUCGAGAAUCAACGUGACAGAAAAAUUAAGUGUCUACGAUCUGAUCGUGGAGGAGAAUAUUUGAGUCACGAGUUUGGCACACACCUAAGGAAGUGUGGAAUCAUUUCACAACUGACGUCACCUGGCACAACGCAACGCAACGGAGUGUCUGAAUGUCGUAAUCGCACUUUAUUAGAUAUGGUACGAUCUAUGAUGUCUCUUACCGACUUAUCGCUAUCAUUUUGGGGAUACGCAUUAGAAACUGCAGCAUUCACUUUAAAUAGGGCACCGUCUAAAUCUGUUGAGACGACACCGUAUGAACUAUGGUUUGGCAAGAAACCUAAGUUGUCGUUUCUUAAAGUUUGGGGCUGCGAUGCUUAUGUGAAGAAACUUCAACCAGAAAAGCUCGAACCCACAGCGGAGAAAUGUGUAUUCAUAGGAUACCCUAAGGAAACUAUUGGGUAUACCUUCUAUCUUAGAUCCGAAGGUAAAACCUUUGUUGCCAAGAACGGAUCCUUUCUAGAGAAAGAGUUUCUCUCGAAAGAAGUAAGUGGGAGGAAGGUAGAACUUAAUGAGGUAAUUACACCCCCUCUCGAACAGGAUAGUAGCGCAGCGCGGGAAGUUGUUCCUGUGGCGCCUACACCAACUGAAGAGGAAGUUAAUGAUGACAAUCAUGAAGCUUCGGAUCAAGUUACUACUGAACCGCGAAGGUCCACAAGGGCACGCUCCGCACCAGAGUGGUACGGCAACCCUGUGAUGGAAAUCAUGCUGUUAGACAACGGUGAACCUUCGAACUAUGAAGAAGCGAUGGCGGGCCCGGAUUCCAACAAAUGGCUUGAGGCUAUGAAAUCCGAGAUAGGAUCCAUGUAUGAGAACAAAGUAUGGACUUUUGUGGACUUGCCCGAUGACCGGCGAGCCAUAGAAAAUAAAUGGAUCUUCAAGAAGAAGACUGAUGCAAACGGUAAUGUAACCGUUUACAAAGCUCGACUUGUCGCAAAGGGUUUUCGACAAAUUCAAGGAGUUGACUACGAAGAGACUUUCUCUCCCGUAGCGAAGCUGAAAUCAGUCUGAAUCAUGUUAGCAAUUGCCGCCUUUUAUGAUUAUCAAAUUUGGCAAAUGGACGUCAAAACAGCAUUCCUUAACGGGAACCUUAAGGAAGAGUUGUAUAUGAUGCAACCAGAAGGUUUUGUCGACCCUAAGGGUGCUAACAAAGUGUGCAAGCUCCAGCGCUCCAUCUAUGGGCUGGUGCAAGCAUCUCGGAGUUGGAACAUUCGCUUUAAUGAGGUGAUUGAAGCGUUUGGGUUCAUACAUGUUUAUGGAGAAGCCUGUCUGUACAAGAAAGUAAGUGGGAGCUCUGUAGCUUUCCUCAUACUGUAUUUGGAUGACAUAUUAUUGAUGGGGAACAAUACAGAAAUGUUGGAGAGCAUAAAGGCCUAUUUGAACAACAGUUUUUCAAUGAAGGACCUUGGAGAAGCUGCAUACAUAUUAGGCAUCAAGAUCUAUAGAGAUAGAUCGAGACGCCUCAUAGGUCUUUCGCAAAGUACAUACCUUGACAAGAUAUUGAAGAAGUUCAAUAUGGAAAACUCAAAGAAAGGGUUCUUGCCUGUUUUGCAAGGUAUGAGAUUGAGUAAGACUCAGUCGCCGACCACGGCAGCAGAUAGAGAGAAGAUGAGUUCUGUCCCCUAUGCUGCAGCCGUGGGCUCUCUAAUGUAUGCCAUGCUGUGUACCAGACCUGAUAUAAACCUUGCCGUAAGCUUGGUAGGGAGGUACCAAAGUGAUCCCGGUAUGGAACACUGGACAGCGGUCAAGAAUAUCCUUAAGUACCUGAAAAGGACUAAGGAAAUGUUUCUCAUUUAUGGAGGUGACGAAGAGCUCGUCGUAAAGGGUUACGUCGACGCUAGCUUCGACACAGAUCCAGAUGACUCUAAAUCACAGACCGGAUACGUAUAUGUGUUGAAUGGUGGGGCAGUGAGCUGGUGCAGCAGGAAGCAAGAAGUCGUGGCAGCAUCUACAUGUGAAGCGGAGUACAUAGCUGCUUCAAAAGCAGCUCAUGAAGGAAUUUGGAUGAAGGAGCUCAUCACCGACCUUGGAGUGGUUCCAAGCGCGUCGGGUCCAAUGACACUCUUCUGUGAUAACACUGGGGCCAUUGCCAUAGCCAAGGAGCCCAGGUUUCACCGGAAGACGAAGCACAUCAAACGCCGCUACAACUCCAUCCAGGACCAUGUCCAGAGUGGAGUGAUAGAUAUUUGUAAAGUACACACGGAUCUGAAUAUUGCAGACCCGUUGACUAAACCUCUUCCACGAGCAAAACAUGAUCAACACCAUAAUGCUAUGGGUGUUCGAUACAUCACAAUGUAACUAGAUUAUUGACUCUAGUGCAAGCGGGAGACUAUUGGAAAUAUGCCCUAGAGGCAAUAAUAAAAUGGUUAUUAUCAUAUUUCCUUGUUCAUGAUAAUCGUCUAUUGUUCAUGCUAUAAUUGUAUUAACAGGAAACAGUAAUACAUGUGUAAAUAGAUCACAAUGUGUCCCUAGCAAGCCUCUAGUUGGCUAGCUCGUUAGUCAAUAGAUGAUCAUGGUUUCCUGAUCAUGGGCAUUAGAUGUCAUUGAUAACGGGAUCACAUCAUUGGGAGAAUGAUGUGAUGGACAAGACCCAAUCCUAAGCAUAGCACUAGAUCGUAUUGUUCGUAUGCUAAAGCUUUUCUAAUGUCAAGUAUCUUUCCUUCGACCGUGAGAUUGUGCAACUCCCGGAUACCGUAGGAGUGCUUUGGGUGUAUCAAACGUCACAACGUAACUGGGUGACUAUAAAGGUGCACUACGGGUACCUCCGAAAGUGUCUGUUGGGUUGGUACAAAUCGAGAUCGGGAUUUGUCACUCCGUGUGACGGAGAGGUAUCUCUGGGCCCACUCGGUAGAACAUCAUCAUGAGCUCAAUGUGACUAAGGAGUUAUUCACACGAUGAUGUUCUACGGAACGAGUAAAGAGACUUACCGGUAACGAGAUUGAACAAGGUAUAGGUAUACCGACGAUCGAAUCUCGGGCAAGUUCUAUACCGACAGACAAAGGGAAUCGUAUAGGGGAUUAAUUGAAUCAUUGACAUCGUGGUUCAUCCGAUGAGAUCAUCUGGAGCAAGUGGGAGCCACCAUGGGUAUCCAGACCCCGCUGAUGGUUAUUGGCCGGAGAGGCGUCUCGGUCAUGUCUGCCUGUCUCCCAAACCCGUAGGGUCUACACACUUAAGGUUCGAUGACGCUAGGAUUAUAGGGAAUUGUUAUACGAGGUUACCGAAAGUUUUUCAGAGUCCCGGAUGAGAUCCCGGACGUCACGAGGAGCUCCGGAAUGGUCCGGAGGUAAAGAUUGAUAUAUAGGACGGAUGGUUUCGGAUACCGAAAGUGUUUCGGGCAUCACCUGGACCGCCGGGACCACCGGAGGUGGUCCCGGGGGUCCACCGAAGGGGUGCAACGACCCCGGGAGGUAAGGUGGGCCAAGUGGGGAAGGGAACCAGCCCCUAGGUGGGCUGGUGCGCCUCCCCACUCAGCCCAAUGUGUGGGGGAGAGAAAAGGGGGGCAAACCCUAAGCCAGGUGGGCCUAAGGCCCACCAGGUUGUGCGCCACCCCUCCCCACCCUAGCCGCCGCCCCCCUUUCCCAUCUGGUGGAUGCUGGCCCCUAGGGAGGGAACCCUAGGGGUGGCGCAGCCCCUCCCCCUCCUCCUAUAAAUAGAGAGGGGGUUUUUGGCCCCUUGGGAGACAGACUUCUCCCUCUCCCUCGGCGCAGCCCUGCCCUUCUUUCUCCUCCUCUGUGUUGGUGCUUGGCGAAGCCCUGCCGGGAGACCUCGUCUCUCCAUCGACACCACACCGUCGUGCUGCUGGAGUUCUUCCCCAACCUCUCCCUCCUCCUUGCUGGAUCAAGGUGCGGGAGACGUCACCGGGCUGCACGUGUGUUGAACGCGGAGGUGCCGUAGUUCGGCACUAGAUCGAAAUCACACCGCGAUCCGAAUCGCUGCGAGUACGACUCCAUCAACCGUGUUCUAGUAACGCUUCCGCUUAGCGAUCUUCAAAGGUAUGAAGAUGCUCUUACCCCUCUCUCGUUGCUGGUCUCUCCAUAGGAAGAUUUGAAUAUGCGUAGGAAAAUUUUGAAUUUAUGCUACGUUACCCAACAACCAACUCAAUUAAGGCAUCCUCAUAGUCGGACAGAAAAGCUUUGAAUAGCAAGGGAAUGCGGAUGUUGUGUCGCCCUCUCUUUGUAUGCCACGAGCCUUCCUCUGAAAAACAUACUAAUCCGACCUUCUUGGCCCUGGAGAUACGCAUAGUCCAAUUAAAUCUCCUACUCCAAUUGUGGAUAUCCAACAACUGCUUUCUUAUUAUACCAACUUAGAUGCUCAGUGCUGCUAUUGGCAUAACAACCGGUACACCAUAGGUUGACCCAACCCAGUCCUCCGUUUGGAUUUCGAGUCCAAAAAGGCCCAGCGAAAGAGGAUUUUCAGUCCUAUGCCCGCUUUUUCGGCUAGUAUUUUUUAUUAUCACAACACUUCUUCUUAGACUGGACUACUUAUCAUUACAAGGCCGCUACGUUUCACUUCAGGGACUUUUUAUUUGACUAGGAAGUGCAGCAUUGCUACAUUCCCCAUAGGGUUGGCGCCCCUCUUCCCUAGUACAAAUUUAAUCAUAGCAAGGGAUAAGCUAUCUUAAAACCUACUAUCAAUCUGUUUAUAUAACGCAAUACACCUACCUUUUUUCUUUAAGCACUGAACAUCCGGAUCCCCUUCCUAUUAUUUUAACUAGAUAUAAAAACCAUAAGGAUUGUUUCCAACCGAGAGUUCUCAUAUGACAUAGGUGCUCUUGGGUGGGGUGGCCCCUCAUUCGCCAGGUCUUUGAGUGCACAUCGUACCACGUGGUUGGUAUAAGUGUGUGUAUAGAAAUCCUUCUUUUCACAACCAUGCAGAAACCAAAGUGCCGCUGAAACGUGAAAUCCAUGCACCAAAAAGUUAGAGUUCAUCAAUUUGUGAAUUAUGGACUUGGCGGUAGUGGUCAAUACUAACUGCGCCGUUUGAAUGCUCAUUGACCAAGUUUAUGUAACGAGAAAUGCUGUGAAAAUCACGAUCGCCUACCAGUGGAAGGCUUUCUGCAUUCAGUCAAUCUAAUAUUAAUUCGAGUAUCAACUCACGUCAACCAGUUGUCAAACUCCAAAUAUUUCGUUCAUAGGGGCAUGAAGAAGUUGCUAAAUCGGUUGUACAUUUUCUCGCUCUCCCCCUCUUUUUUCAAGAAUAAAUGAGCCACUCGGACCUUCCAUUUCCGUCAACCCGGGGUACAAAAGUAAUGGGUCAGCUUAUGAUUUUAGGCAUGGUAACUAGAGGGAUCGUCCCUACCUAUCUUCGCAAGAUCGGAUUAGUAUGGUAAACAAAACCAUUCAAAGUUUGAGAGCACUUCCUCCGUUAGAUGGAGAUUAGAACUAAGCUCUAUGCAGAAACAAUACCACACUUAUCUAGGAAUAGCAUGAUAGGGAGCACGAAGGUGAAUUGGAAAGAGAAAUACAUACACGUCUUUAGGGAAGGUUCGUUGGUAGAAAUCAAAGGGGAAGAAGGCCGCCCCAUCGAAAGGAUUGACACACCAAAAGGGCCACCAUCUUUCGAGUAAGAAAACAACUUGACAUUGUGAUCCCCAAGAAGAGGUUCGUAUUAUAGUAGAUUUGUUUUCCCUUUCCAAGUUCAAACCUACUUUGCUUUAAGUCGGUUUUACUUUUUAACGUCGUCUACGGAGAGACAAGAUCUUCGAAUGCUACAAAAUGUCUCUCUCAAUCCCUAAAAAAAGCCUAUCUUUUUUUGCGGGGGACAACCAUGCUUGUCAAGCCGCCUCCCUCAUUCGUUGUCAACAACUCUAAGGUCUCUGGUAAAAAAACACAAUUCUAAGGGCCUCUUUGCAGCAUGGGAUUUUCGUAUCGAUUUUGAAAAUUUCGAAUUUGAAGGAUUUUUUUGUUGUCGAAGCCCUUUGGAGUGUAGGAUUAGGACUAAUAAUUUUCUAUGGAAUUUAUUCCUAUGCCCCUGAUUUCGUAGGAAUCUUAACGUAACCUCAAACCUCAUUUUAUUUUAUUUUCUUCAAGAAAUCCAGUCAGUUCUACUUUAUCUCUCAUUCCCUCUCUUCUCGAUGCUUUAAGAUGUCACAAUCAGACCCUAUUCCUGCAUUUUCAAAGUCGUGCAAUGCAAAGAGGCCCUUAAGACGCCUUUUCAAUAUUAUUUUGUAGGAAAAAGAAAGCAUUCUAUAACCGGUGGUUUCGAAGAACACUCGUUACAUAUGAUAGAGGAAAUAAGGCAUGGAACGUCAUUCUAAUGAUCAUAUCUUUGUAAGUUCUAGGAAUCUAACAAGCUCAUGAGUAGUGGCAUUGCUCUCUCUUUGAAUUAACAUCAUAACACACUCCUCAAAUCUUUUAAUAUGCUCUCGAGCAUCAAUUUAGGUGGCAAAGUAGCUAGAUCUUUCCCAGAGUCCGUAUCACAGUCCCUCUCGCUCACCGACACGGGGCAAUCUUAUCUAUGAGUAUCCUAUGAUGGUGCAAACCAUAGUCAAUUUUACUCUCAAACUUAAGGGCAUCUCUAACUAAACUUUUAAAAUUUAUCAUCUCAAAAGCCUCCUUAAACCUUAACACCUCAAAUUUGAGGGGGGAAGGGUUCAGACGUCAAUGAUGACUAGAUGUCUCGAUUUAGGCGCAGAUGAAGGGUGGCAAUCGAAUCGAAGUGGAACACGUGCACAGGGGGUGGCUGGCUGCUGUUGAGGUUGUGUGGUGGCUGACGGGGGCAAGGAGGAUGGUGUCAGCGUGAAGCUGGUCGAGCCUGAGAGGGAGACAGUCACACGAGGAAGGGUAAUCUUUUACAAAGAAGUUGUUUUGACUCCUCAAAAUUAGGAGACAACUGACACAUUUCCUAACAAUUUUGAGAAUUCAAUUGGAUCUGAUUUAACUCUCAAAACGAAUCUUUUAAUAAGAAGUUAAAUCCCCUUGAGGCUUCAAUUAGAUCAACUCCAACCGAGCUACACAAGCGGACACUGGUUUUGUCCGUUUUUGCCCGUUUGGGUCGCCCGUUCGUUCAUCUGUGUCCAUUUUUUUGUUUGGGUUCGCAGGUGCAUCCAACGGGGACGGACGACACAUUUUCUAACAUGUUCGCCCGACAUUCAGUCGAAUAUCUGGUGGGAGAGCUCCCGCCUCCUUGCAGCUCCCACCUGCCGCACCGGCGUGCUGCCGCAUACCCGACGCGCCCGCGAGCUCGCCUCCGCCCUGCCCUCGCCAUCGGGGGCGAGCUCUACAUCCUCGAUGGCGCCACCAAAGAUGGCGGCCCCAUGCUCUGCCAACACCACCACGCGGGCCGUGCCACACCGGGGCUACGAGGUCUUCAUCCUCGACUCCGACAGCUUCCAGGUGCGCAACGGCGACGGGCAUGCCAUUGAAAAACACAAUAACGACGGUUUCGGGCAGCACGUGCUCUGCACGGCCAUGAGAUCAACAAACUCGCAUGAUGGAUGAGAGAGAGAGAGAUAGACAAAGAUGGGAUGGAUCAGUGAAUGACAUGUGGGGUAGGCGGGACAUGCAAGAGACACACACGAACGAGGAGGACGCAAAAAGUCUGCUUUGCGUCCGCCUCCGAUCUCAAUAUGGUUUAAAUUUAAGAUCGAAAUGGACCGUCGUGGACACGAAGGAGAAAUGAUUUGAAACUGGGUCACCGUUUUUAUUUGCAAAGAUUAAAAGAACAUGGGCACAAGAAAUGGGUGACAAGGUUGGAGUUGCUCAAGAUGCCCUCACACAGGUUUUUUCACUGUUUUGACCCGAGGGGGAAAGUUAAUCACGGAACGAACUCGUUUGGAAACAAUUUCACGUUUUGACCCUUUUGAAACGCCAUAGUCCGUGGCGUUGCAGCUCUACAGAGAAACGCCACUCUAAUGUGGCGUUUCUGGACAUGCACAAAACGCCUAACUAGUGUGGCGUUUCUGGACGUGUGAAACGCCAGACACUGUGGCGUUGCGGGCCUGAGAUGAAACGCCAUGCUGUUGGGUAACGUAGCAUAAAUUCAAAAAAUUUCCUACGCAUGUUCAGAUCUUCCUAUGGAGAGACCAGCAACGAGAGAGGGGUAAGAGCAUCUUCGUACCUUUGAAGAUCGCUAAGCGGAAGCGUUGCUAGAACGCGGUUGAUGGAGUCGUACUCGCAGCGAUUCCGAUCUAGUGCCGAACAACGGCACCUCCGCGUUCAACACACGUGCAGCCCGGUGACGUCUCCCGCACCUUGAUCCAGCAAGGAGGAGGGAGAGGUUGGGGAAGAAGACCAGCAACACGACGGCGUGGUGUUGGUGGAGAGACGAGGUCUCCCGGCAGGGCUUCGCCAAGCGCCGGCAGAGAGGAGGAGGAAGAAGUGCAGGGCUGCGCCGAGGGAGAGGGAAAAAUGUGUCCUCCAAAGGCCAAAAGUGCCCACUAUAUAUAGGGGAAGGGGAGAGGGGGUGCCACCCCUAGGGUUCCCACCCUAGGGGGUGCGUCAGCCCUCCCAGAUAAGGAAAGUGGCGGCCAGAUGGGGAGGAGGGGGUGGCGCACCCCUCUGGUGGGCCUAAGGCCCACCUAAGUUAGGGUUCCCCCCCUCUUUUUCUUCCCCUGCGCCAUGGGCUGAGUGGGGAGGCGCACCAGCCCAACUAGGGGCUGGUUCCCACCCCCACUUAGCCCAUCUUACCUCUUGGGGUCGCAGCCCCCCUUCGGUGGUCCCCCGGGACCACCUCCGGUGGUCCCGGUACGUUACCGGUGAUGCCCGAAACACUUCCGGUGUCCGAAACCAUCCGUCCUAUAUAUCAAUAUUUACCUUCGGACCAUUCCGGAGCUCCUCGUGACGUCCGGGAUCUCAUCCGGGACUCCGAACAACUUUCGGUAAUCUCGUAUAACAAUUCCCUAUAACCCUAGCGUCAUCGAACCUUAAGUGUGUAGACCCUACGGGUUCGGGAGACAGGCAGACAUGACCGAGACACCUCUCUGGCCAAUAACCAUCAGCGGGGUCUGGAUACCCAUGGUGGCUCCCACUAGCUCCACGAUGAUCUCAUCGGAUGAACCACGAUGUCAAGGAUUCAAUCAAUCCCGUAUACGAUUCCCUUUGUCUGUCGGUAUAGAACUUGCCCGAGAUUCGAUCGUCGGUAUACCUAUACCUUGUUCAAUCUCGUUACUGGUAAGUCUCUUUACUCGUUCCGUAGCACGUCAUCGUGUGACUAACUCCUUAGUCACAUUGAGCUCAUGAUGAUGUUCUACCGAGUGGGCCCAGAGAUACCUCUCCGUCACACGGAGUGACAAAUCCCGAUCUCGAUUCGUGCCAACCCAACAGACACUUUCGGAGGUACCCGUAGUGCACCUUUAUAGUCACCCAGUUACGUUGUGACGUUUGAUACACCCAAAGCACUCCUACGGUAUCCGGGAGUUGCACAAUCUCACGGUCGAAGGAAAAGAUACUUGACAUUAGAAAAGCAUUAGCAUACGAACAAUACGAUCUAGUGCUAGGCUUAGGAUUGGGUCUUGUCCACCACAUCAUUCUCCCAAUGAUGUGAUCCCGUUAUCAAUGACAUCCAAUGUCCAUGAUCAGGAAACCAUGAUCAUCUAUUGACCAACGAGCUAGCCAACUAGAGGCUUGCUAGGGACACAUUGUGAUCUAUUCAUUCACACAUGUAUUACUGUUUCCUGUUAAUACAAUUAUAGCAUGAACGAUGGACGAUUAUCAUGAACAAGGAAAUAUGAUAAUAACCAUUUUAUUAUUGCCUCUAGGGCAUAUUUCCAAUAGUCUCCCACUUGCACUAGAGUCAAUAAUCUAGUUACAUUGUGAUGUAUCGAACACCCAUAGCAUCAUGGUGUUGAUCAUGUUUUGCUCGUGGAAGAGGUUUAGUCAACGGGUCUGCAAUAUUCAGAUCCGUGUGUACUUUACAAAUAUCUAUCACUCUAGUUUGGACAUGGUCCUGGAUGGAGUUGUAGCGGCGCUUGAUGUGCUUCGUCUUUCGGUGAAACCUGGGCUCCUUGGCUAUGGCAAUGGCUCCAGUGUUGUCACAGAAGAGUGUCAUAGGACCCGACGCGCUUGGAACCACUCCAAGGUCGGUGAUGAGCUCCUUCAUCCAAAUUCCUUCAUGAGCCGCUUCUGAAGCAGCUAUGUACUCCGCUUCACAUGUAGAUGCUGCCACGACUUCUUGCUUGCUGCUGCACCAGCUCACUGCCCCACCAUUCAACACAUAUACGUAUCCGGUCUGUGAUUUAGAGUCAUCUGGAUCUGUGUCGAAGCUAGCGUCGACGUAACCCUUUACGACGAGCUCUUCGUCACCUCCAUAAAUGAGAAACAUUUCCUUAGUCCUUUUCAGGUACUUAAGGAUAUUUUUGACCGUUGUCCAGUGUUCUGCACCGGGAUUACUUUGGUACCUCCCUACCAAGCUUAUUGCAAGGUUUAUAUCAGGUCUGGUACACAGCAUGGCAUACAUUAGAGAGCCCACGGCUGAAGCAUAGGGGACAGAACUCAUCUUCUCUCUAUCUGUUGCCGUGGUCGGCGACUGAGUCUUACUCAAUCUCAUACCUUGCAAAACUGGCAAGAACCCUUUCUUUGAGUUUUCCAUAUUGAACUUCUUCAGUAUCUUGUCAAGGUAUGUACUUUGCGAAAGACCUAUGAGGCGUCUCGAUCUAUCUCUAUAGAUCUUGAUGCCUAAUAUGUAUGCAGCUUCUCCAAGGUCCUUCAUUGAAACACUCUUGUUCAAAUAGGCCUUUAUGCUCUCCAACAUCUCUAUAUCAUUCCCCAUCAACAAUAUGUCAUCCACAUAUAGUACGAGGAAAGCUACAGAGCUCCCACUCACUUUCUUGUACAGACAGGCUUCUCCGUAAACCUGUAUGAACCCAAACGCUUUAAUCACCUCAUUAAAGCGAAUGUUCCAACUCCGAGAUGCUUGCACCAGCCCAUAGAUGGAGCGCUGGAGCUUGCAUACUUUGUUAGCACCUUUAGGAUCGACAAAACCUUCUGGUUGCAUCAUAUACAACUCUUCCUUAAGAUUCCUGUUAAGGAACGCUGUUUUGACGUCCAUUUGCCAAAUUUCAUAAUCAUAAAAGGCGGCAAUUGCUAACAUGAUUCGGACUGAUUUCAGCUUCGCUACGGGAGAGAAAGUCUCUUCGUAGUCAACUCCUUGAAUUUGUCGAAAACCCUUUGCGACAAGUCGAGCUUUGUAAACGGUUACAUUACCGUUUGCAUCAGUCUUCUUCUUGAAGAUCCAUUUAUUUUCUAUGGCUCGCCGUUCAUCGGGCAAGUCCACCAAAGUCCAUACUUUGUUCUUAUACAUGGAUCCUAUCUCGGAUUUCAUGGCCUCAAGCCAUUUGUUGGAAUCCAGGCCCGCCAUCGCUUCUUCAUAGUUCGAAGGUUCACCGUUGUCUAACAACAUGAUUUCCAUCACAGGGUUGCCGUACCACUCUGGUGCGGAGCGUACCCUUGUGGACCUUCGUGGUUCAGUAGUAACUUGAUCCGAAGCUUCAUGAUCAUCAUCAUAAACUUCCUCUUCAGUUGGCGUAGGCACCACAGGAACAACUUCUUGCGUUGCGCUACUUUCCUGUUCGAGAGGGGGUGUAAUUACCUCAUCAAGUUCUACCUUCCUCCCACUUACUUCUUUCGAGAGAAACUCUUUCUCUAGAAAGGAUCCGUUCUUGGCAACAAAGGUUUUACCUUUGGAUCUAAGAUAGAAGGUAUACCCAAUAGUUUCCUUAGGGUAUCCUAUGAAUACGCAUUUCUCCGUUUUGGGUUCGAGCUUUUCUGGUUGAAGUUUCUUCACAUAAGCAUCGCAGCCCCAAACUUUAAGAAACGACAACUUAGGUUUCUUGCCAAACCACAGUUCAUACGGUGUCGUCUCAACGGAUUUAGACGGUGCCCUAUUUAAAGUGAAUGCUGCAGUUUCUAAUGCGUAUCCCCAAAAUGAUAGCGCUAAGUCGGUGAGAGACAUCAUAGAUCGUACCAUAUCUAAUAAAGUGCGAUUACGACGUUCAGACACUCCGUUGCGCUGCGGUGUGCCAGGCGGUGUUAGUUGUGAAACGAUUCCAUACUUCCUUAGGUGUGUGCCAAACUCGUGACUCAAAUAUUCUCCUCCACGAUCAGAUCGUAGACAUUUAAUUUUCCUGUCAUGUUGAUUCUCAACCUCACUCCGAAAUUCCUUGAACUUUUCAAACGUCUCAGAUUUGUGCUUCAUCAAGUAGAUAUACCCAUACCUACUCAAAUCAUCGGUGAGAGUGAGAACAUAACGAUAACCACCGCGAGCUUCAACGUUCAUUGGGCCACACACAUCAGUAUGUAUUAUUUCCAAUAAGUCGGUGGCUCUCUCCAUUAUUCCUGAGAAUGGAGUCUUAGUCAUCUUGCCCAUGAGGCACGGUUCGCAUGUGUCAAAUGAUUCGAAGUCAAGAGACUCUAGCAGUCCAUCAGUAUGGAGCUUCUUCAUGCGCUUAACGCCGAUAUGACCAAGGCAGCAGUGCCACAAGUAUGUGGGACUAUCGUUAUCAACUUUGCAUCUUUUGGUACUCACACUAUGAAUAUGUGUAACAUCACGAUCGAGAUUCAUCAAGAAUAAACCAUUCACCAGCGGAGCAUGACCAUAAAACAUAUCACUCAUAUAAAUAGAACAACCAUUAUUCUCUGACUUAAAUGAGUAGCCGUCUCGCAUUAAGCAAGACCCUGAUACAAUGUUCAUGCUUAAAGAUGGUACUAAAUAACAAUUAUUAAGGUUUAAAACUAAUCCCGACGGUAGAUGUAGAGGUAGCGUGCCGACGGCGAUCACAUCGACCUUUGAGCCAUUCCCGACGCGCAUCGUCACCUCGUCCUUGGCCAGUCUCCGCUUAUUCCGCAGUUCCUGCUUUGAGUUGCAAAUGUGAGCAACAGCACCGGUAUCAAAUACCCAGGAGCUACUACGAGCGCUGGUAAGGUACACAUCAAUAACAUGUAUAUCAUAUAUACCUUUAACGUUGCMGAAUUUCAUCACUAAGGAAAUUCCUUUUGAGGAAAUUCCUCACUGACGAAUAACGUGCAGCGGAAAUAGCGCAGGAUCAGAGGUGCAAAGACUACAACAUCAGUUUUCUUGAUGAGGAUUAUGAAAAACAGUUUGCACAGUGUGCAGACAGAGAAUAAGUAGGUGAGGAUUAACUGGUAUGAAGAAUUUGAGGUUGAGGAAAUUCAUAGAAAGUCUUCAACAAAUUCUUUAAACAGAGACAAUGAAAGUCUUCAACAUACAAUAUUGAGGAAUUGAAAGAGUUGAAGAAAUAGAACCCGUAUCACAGUGAAGACAGUUGUUGAUGACCCAGUUCCAACUGCUGUGACAAUCGUAUGUUUGGUUGCUAGCGGCCUGGUAUUGAAACCAAAGGACACACAGUCCCUACCAUAUUCUCUUUGAGCUAAGGACACACAGUCCUCGCCCAACACUCGUGGUAAGUCUUCAGGGCAGACUUCCAAACCCUCACAAACUCGGUCACCCGGCGAUCAACAAUUGACUGCUCGAUUGCUCUAGACCAUGACGCCUAACCGUCUGGAGGAUGCACAGUCCUUAAAGGAAAAAGGCUUCGGUUCCACACAGUAACAAAUUCUCCAGUGAUGCUCAAUCACUUGGUUUAGGUUUGUGGUUUGGUGUAUGGGGUAUUUCCUCACUGAUGAUUUACUCUCAAAGACUGUGAGGAAUUUGGGUUGCUCUAAAUGACAAGUGUCAGUUUCUCGUGGAGCAGCCAACCGGCUAAUGGUUGUGGGGGCGGCUAUUUUUAGCAUGGGAGCAUCCCGACAUGAUUUGACAUAAAUGCCCUUAAAUAUUAUGACCAUUGGUGUGGAUAAGUUUGGUGAUGUGGCACGAAUCGCGGCAACGGUCGAGACUCUCAACUGUGAGAGUCCUCAUGUCUCUCAUAUUCCUCACUUGAGGCUUUUGUAGUAUUAGGCUUGAGUUGAGCAUCACGAGGAAAUUCAUUCCGUAGUAUUACCUCGACCCCCUUUAACAGUACGGUGUUCCUAUAACUCGAGUGAAGAAAAUGAAACAUAAAGAAUAAAUCUUCACGCUUCAAAGUCUUCGGACUGAUUUUCUUCAGGACACACCGAAUUCCUCAUCUUCAAUAUCUUCAUGAGGAAUAUCAAUUUCAUCGCAAUUUCUUCGCGAUCAAAAUCUUCAGCAUAAGACCAAUUUUUUCAGCCGAAGAUAUACAUUUUUAGGGGUCGAUAUUCAUCGUAUAACUCAAACUCCUCAGCGACUUAUAGAGCCUGUGUACACUUAUAAACACAUUAGUUACUUAACGUAUAAGUCUUUAAAGCACUAAAAUCACUAAGGGCACUAGAUGCACUUACAAUCUCCUCCUUUUUGGCGGUUGAUGACAAUUAUGUUAAGUUUUCAACGGGAAUAAAAAUAUGAAGUGUAAAUACUGAGUUUGAGGAAUUUGAAAUCAAGAUAUUGAGAGACUCCCCCUGAAGAUGUGCAUAUUUUGAGGAUUUUGCUUUUCACAGCAAAUGCACAUUGAUGAUUUAUAUCAUGGAGAUCUCCCCCUGUAUCUUGUAAAUCAUGCAUACAUUUGACAUAUAAAAUGAGGAAUUUGAGAAUGCAUGAUGAAAAUUGGUAUCUCACGAAUUUUAGCAUGCGUGCAUUAAUAUUUUGAGGAAUAAUCAUACAAAGAAAAACGUUCAAAAGCGUCAGAGUACCAUCGGGCUUAAGUUACAACUCAUUACAUAAAACACUUUAGAAGAACCAAGAGUUUGUAACUUAAUAAAGUUCAUAAGCCCCAAAAUAUAUCAUGCAUGAAGACUAACUCAGAUUUCUCCCCUUUGUCAUCAAGUGACGAAAAGGGACAAAACUGAGGACUAACGCCCCAUGAAGACUUUCACUUCUUGGCUGAUGAAGAGGCGUGAGGAUUCUUGGCGACAUGCUUCUUCCUUAGACCAGUUGCAGUGUUUUCUGGUUCUUCAUCAGAUUCUGCAGUGCAAAUGAAGAAAAAGAACUGUCCUCAAGGUCAGGCACUGAAAUUGGCUUGAAUUUCUUCUUGGGAGGCCACGACCAGUCGAAGUCCUGAGUAAACUCCAAUUCAUCAAGUUCCUCUUGAGUCUUCAGAUGAGCCAAGGUGGCCCAAGUACGAUCAAACACCUCAUGAAGAUAAUAGUGAUUUUUCCUCACUACAUUCUGAGUCUCAUUGAGGGUUUUCACAAUGACACUGAAUUGAUGUUUUACCCAUCUGUGAUUACGAUCGACCUUCUGAUGAAGACUGAGGAGUAGCUCUCUGUUAGUCAUCACUCUUGGGGCAGUUGGGCUUGGUGGAUCUUGAGUGGCAGUGUCAUCAUAUGAAGAAUAUGACUCUGCUUCGGGAAACUGGCCAUCAAGAGGUCGAUUUCCUUCAUCAAUGACAUAUUUUCCUUUGCCUUCAACAUGCUCAAAUGUCUUCUUGAUGACUGUGAUGGGCCGCAGAUAUCCAAUGUGAUUAGGAAAAUCAUCAUGGUAGUUGAUGCCAGACCUGCUUCUGAUGAAUCUCAUGAUCCACGGAGCGUAAAUCUUCAUGUCGAAGGGCGACAGUGCAUUAUCAGCCAAAGUCCUCAGGAAGAAGUCGUGAAGGUUUACUGGUAUGCCAUGGAUGAUAUUGAAGAGGAUAUUCUUCAUGAUGCCUACGACAUCAUCUUCAUCAUCAUGGCCUUUGAUAGGAGGGAUGACAUUGGCCAGAAUUUUGUAGACCGUUCGUGGUUCAUACUUCAAGUCUUGAACCAGAAAGUGAGUCCUAGGAGGUUGGUUCUUGGCCAAAGCUUCAUGAGGACUUCCAUCAGUCUGUUGGGCAGCUCACCUUCAUCAUACAUCAGCACUGCAUUUUCUGAGGGAAUUGAGACAGGAAUUGCACGAAGCAAUUCAGUGGCUGGUGCUUUGUAGUGCAUGUGCUGAGUCAUCCAGUCCAACACCCAAGUGUUGACAUCCUUCGGGUCUCCAGAGAUAUGCAAAGUUGCGUAGAACUGAAGAAUUAUGUCACUGUUCCAGUCACCUAUGUUAGUGCAAAGAGGCAGCAUUCCGGCUUCAUGAAGAACAUUGAGGAUUGAAGUGAAGCAAGGAAUUUCUUCCAUGUCAACAUGAAGAAUAUGUGUGUGCUGAAAUAUUUUGUUCCUCCCACACAGCACAAAGGCAUAGUAGUUGAGCUGAGUCCUCGUCCAGAAUUUGCGAUGCCUGAUGCGAAGCUUAUCAUACGGAUUUGCGCCUGUGAAGUACAUACGUUCUUCAUAAAAAGCUUCCUUUUGAAACUUUGGCCUCCUUGAAAAAGGCUGAUUUUGCUGCGGCUGAAGAUUAUGUUGCUGUUCUUGAAGAGGAGCUACUAUGAUUGAUGUUUCUGUGUUGACCACAACAAUAGCAGUUUCGGUGCUAGGUGCAGAAGCAUUUUCUUCAUUCUGACCUUUUUCUUCAGGCUGAGGAUUUUUCUCACCUUGAGGGAUUUGCUUGGUGGAGGAGGCAAAAUCAUCAGCUGAUGCAGCUGAUCCUUGCGCAGAUUCAUCACAGACGGUCUUCCCAUCAGAUCCUGUGAGGAUUUUUGUUGCAGCAGGAGUAGGAGGGAUUUGGGUUGACCUUGGUGAGCGAUGAGUCUCUUCCUAGAAGUCAUCAUGAAAGACUGGAGUGGUGCAAUCAAUGUCAUCACAUGUCUUUUGAGGAAUGGUGGAUUGAGGAAUGUCAUCAAUUUGUAUUUCCUCACCCAUGAUUUCUUCAGAUCCAGCAUCUUCCAUUUCCUCAUCUUCUUCAGGAAUGACAUAGUCAAUUCCGAAGGGAACCAGUGAGUAGGAUGGAUCUACAUUAAGAGGCAUAGCAUCCAGUGGGGCAGUUGAGGAUUCUGUGUGAGUGACCUUUGGGCGCUUGGCCUAUGAGGAUUCUGAGGUCAUUGAAGCUUUUAUUUUCUUUGCUUCUUUCUCAGCAGCUUUGGUCUUCUUCACGUCUGAUGCAGACGAAACCAUCUUAUUCACCUUUGAAGGUUGAGGUGAAAGAAUUCUUUCUUCAGGAGCUGGUGCAGUCUCAGUCUUGAUAGUUUCCUUAGCUCAAGCAUUUUCUUCAGCUAUAACAUUUUCCUCAGCUCGAGCAGAUUCAUCAGCUGGAGUCUCUUGAGUAAUUUCCUCAAUAGCAGGUUCAUCAGCUUCAUCUUCUUCAGGCAGGUGAACCGUGUAGCUAGACUCAGGUAGUUUUUGCUGCACAGGAGGAGCAUCUUUCUUGUUGUAUUCAUCAACUGUAUCUGUUGCAAACUUCAUAAAUUUCACCUUAAGACUUUGAAGAUCAGAUAGGUGAGUGUACUUAACUGACAAGGUUUUUAGCUCAGCCUGAGUUGAAACAAGAGCUGCAGGCGUCAGAUUGAGGAGAUUCUGCUUGAGGAAUUUCUCCUUCUUUAGUUUAGCACCUUUGCUUGCUUGGCUUGUUGUUCUUUCCAUUUUGCCUCAUUGAUGAAUGUGGCAACCAUGUUACUGAGACCAGGGGGAAGCUUCAAGUCAUCAAUGGGAGUGUUUGGGUCUUCAUACCACACAUUGAUGAAAUCCAGCAGAACCUCGUUCCUGCUUGUUUUGGAUGAUAGCUUGAAGAGUUUCAUCAUCGAAUCCUCACUUCCUUCUGAUGUAGAAGGAAUGUUGAUGACUUUGCUUGGACUUGGCCUGAUGCCUCUUCCAGCAGUCAUUUUAGUCUUCAAAAGUGUUGGUGAAGACUGUGUAGCAGAGCUCGUGGCAGAUGGCACUGAGGAGCUGGAAUGAGCAAGCAGAUGCUUAACAAUCUUCUUUUGUUCGGGCUGUGAUGACUGUGGUGCGAUUGAAGGUUUUGGCACUGGUGCAACCUUUUGAGGCAAUUUUUCUUUAGGCACUUAUGCCUUUGUUUUAUUUGGCACAGUCUUCAUUUGAGGAAUAGCUGUACCAGAAGUUUCAGCAACAGAAGAGGUGGCUGCAGUGGCAGCAGCAACAGAUUCCUCAUUGAAUUUCUUCACUGUAGCUUCUGCUUUCCUCUGUAGUUUGGACAAGUGUUUGUCCUUCUCCUCAGGAUAAUACUCAAUAGUUUCAACACUUGAGGGAUGUGCAACCUGUUGAUUUCCAAGAGGAGGCCUCUUGCAUGGUGGCUUGAGAGCGAAUUUCUUCGCAUAUUUUGGAGUUACACAGCGAUAUUUCCUUCCACUCCUUAGUCCACCUACGUUCCAUUUUCUGAAGCCUUAUCUUACGCUUUGGCAUGGGUUCUUUGCCAUAUAUUUCCUCAUCAGGUGUGCAGUAGUCAGCGUAUAUGUCUUCAGGAAUAUCAACUGCAGUGUUCUGUUCAAUUUCUUUCCUCCUUUUUGCUUUCUGUCAUCUUCCAUUUUCUUCAACUGAUGCUUUUGUUGAGGAAUUUGCACUCUUGAAGAUUCUGAUGACACUGGUAAAGUUUCUUUGAGGAACACUACAAAUGAGUUAAGUUGAUGAGAACCUAGUGAUUCAUCAGCCGACAUUUUGUACCUGUGAACAGAGUAUGGGUGCGAGGAAUUUGGAGAGGUCAUAUGCGUUCUCAGAUUUGAAGAAAUUGAAAAAACUUAGAAGUUGAGGAUUUUAACCAUUGGGUUGAGGAAUUUGACUAAGCAUUCUGAUCUUGGGUUCCAGAGUUGUGUAGACUCGAGAAUUUACACAAUUGAGGAAUCUCAUGAAGAAUUUUAGUGGCUUAGUGAAAUUCAUCAUGUGUUUGAGGAAUGAGUGUGCGAGGCUGACGGACACUGAGGAAAAACAGAUUUCACGAAUCUAAAGUAAAAUAGUAGAUCAACAGGGUUAGUAAAAUACGAUUUCAAAUACCCUGAGCGACGAACACGAAGAAUAGAGGAAGUAAAAGUGAGAAGCUCGGCAGAAGACAACUACGGCGGUGGCGGAGGAAGAUAUUCUGCUUCCGGCAUGAGUUCGGCGACGGCGAAGACGAGGCAGUGAAGUUGUUCCUCACCGGUGACGAGAUUGCUAGCGGUGGUGCUAGGUUUGAGCUCGAGCGGAGAGAUGAUGAGAGGACGAAGGGUUUUAACUGAGGGGGUAAGGACCUAUUUAUAGCUCAGGUGGAAAACUGUUCGAGCGAAUCUUUUGGACCGAACUACCCUUGCUUGUUCGUCUCCGCUCGACACGUGGAGCCUGAGAUUAAAGCGGUGGAGAUCGUGCUUAUCUGAUCGUGGGAAGUGGGGUUCAGUUACUGUGUAACAAUAUAAAAUUCAGUUUUGAAGAUUUGAGGAUUUUUUUGCAAAAUCCUCAACUGACAAGGACACAGUGAGGAUUUUGAACAAGUUUCAAGUAGAAUGCAUAUGAAGAAUUGAAUAGACUGGGUUGACUAUAACAUAGAAGGGAGUCGGGUCCGAUCACAUUCACUUAGAUGAAAUAUCAAAUUGAAGAAAUAGCUAUAAGUGAAUGCUCUUGAGGACAUUGAAAUAUCAGUCUAUAUAUAUCUAGGCAAAUGAAAAUCAUCAAGCGUUUUGAAGAUUUUGAAAAUCUUGAGGAUUUUGUGACAAGGCGUCAGGUUGAUGAAUUUCAACUGUGUAGAAAGACAGCUUGAAGAAUUUCAAAAUUGGUUGGUGGCGUGGCCCAUCGUAUAAGAAUGAUGAUUUCAGGCGCCGCGUACAAUUAUCGUAGGGUCGUGAGAACCAAAUUCUUCAUUAGUUUCCUCACACUAAGAGUGAUAUUUUUCAUUGAUUGAAGAAAAUCGAUUCUUCGUGUGUUGCACAUCUAAGUCAUCAAUUUUUCAUAAGUGUUAGGAUGUGUGCAUGUGUUCACAAAACAUUUGAAGACUCUAAGAUAUUUAGCUCACACCUCAACUUGCAAAACCUUUUCUCAUCCAAGGGCUUAGUGAAAAUAUCUGCUAGUGGAUCGUCAGUCUUCACAUGGUCGAUGAUGGUAUUGCCCUUGAGGACAUGGUCCUGAAGAAAAUGAUGACAAAUCUGGAUGUGCUUAGUCUUCGAGUGUUGUACUGGGUUGUAUGCGAUCUUGAUUGCACUCUCAUUGUCGCAGUAGAGAGACACAUUCUUCAUGUUGAUGUCGUAGUCUUUGAAGGUUUGGUUCAUCCAUAGCAAUUGAGCACAACAUGAUCCAGCAGCAAUAUGUACUCAGCUUCGACAGUGGAGAGAGAAACACAAUUCUGCUUCUUUGAGGACCAGCAGACUAAUGAUCUUCCGAGGAAAUGACAAGUGCCAGAAGUUGACUUGCGAUCCACACGGUCACCAACAUAAUCAGAAUCAGAAUAUCCCAUUAGAUGAAGAUUUGAGCCCUUGGGGUACCAUAAUUCUAGUGUUGGUGUGUGAGCUAAGUAUCGCAGAAUAUGCUUCACAUCCUUAUGGUGUGUUUCGUUCAGUUUUGCUUGAAAACGGGCACACAUGCAAACACUAAGCAUUAUAUCUGGCCUAGAUGCACAAGAUACAAUAAAGAGCCAAUCAUUGAGCGAUAUACGUGCUGAUCGAAAUCUUUACCAUUUUCGUCAGUGCAGAAGUGGCCGUUGGUAGGCUUGGGAGUCUUGGCGCCUUUGCAUUCAUGCAUGUCGAAUUUCCUCAGAACAUCCUUGAGGUAUUUCUCGUGUGAUAUGAAGAUGUCAUUGCGUUGUUGAUGAAUUUGAAGAUCUAAGAAGAAUUUCAGCUCCCCAUCAUAGACAUAUGAUAUUCUUCACUCAUCAUGUAAGCAAAUUCAUCACUGUAACGUUUGUCAGUACACCCAAAGAUAAUGUCAUCGACAUAUAUUUGGCACACAAAUAGCUCAUUAUCAUCAGAUUUAAUGAAAAGAGUUGGAUUGAGUGAACCAGGUUUGAAGCCUUUCUUCAUGAGGAAUUCCUUCAAUGUAUCGUACCACGCCCGAGGGGCUUGCUUGAGGCCAUAAAGGGCCUUUUUGAGUCUGAAGACUUUGUGUGGAUUCUUUGGAUCCUCAAAACCUAGGGGCUGAGCAACAUAUUGUUGGGGAAUGUCGCAUGGGAAACAAAAAUUUUCCUACGUGCACGAAGACCUAUCAUGGUGAUGUCCAUCUACGAGAGGGGAUUUCCGAUCUAUGUACCCUUGUAGAUCGCACAGCAGAAGCGUUAAUAAAUGCGGUUGAUGUAGUGGAACGUCCUGACGUCCCUCGAUCCGCCCCGCGAACCGUCCCGCGAUCCGUCCCACGAUCCGCUCCGAUCUAGUGCCGAACGGACGACACCUCCGCGUUCAGCACACGUACAGCUCGACGAUGAUCUCGGCCUUAUUGAUCCAGCAAGAGAGACAGAGAGGUAGAUGAGUUCUCCGGCAGUGUGACGGCGCUCUGGAGUUUGGUGGUGAUCUAAUCUCAGCAGGGCUCCGCCCGAGCUCCACAGAAACGCGAUCUAGAGGAAAAACCGUGGAGGUAUGUGGUCGGGCUGCCGUGGCAAAGUUGUGUCAAAUCAGCCCUAAAACCUCCGUAUAUAUAGGUGGGAGGGGAGGGGCCUUGCCUUGGGGCUCAAGGAGCCCCAAGGGGUUCGGCCAAACCAAGGGGGAGAGUCCUCCCCUUCCAAUCCUAGUCCAACUAGGAUUGGAAGGUGGAGUCCUUCUCCACUUUCCCACUUCCCCUUUUUUUCUUUUCUCUUUGAUUUUUCUAUCUCCUGCGCAUAGGGCUUCUUGGGCUGUCCCACCAGCCCACUAAGGGCUGGUGUGGCACCCCUAAGGCCUAUGGGCUUCCCCCGGGUGGGCUUGCCCCCCCCGGUGAACAUCCGGAACCCAUUCGUCAUUCCAGUACAUUCCCGGUAACUCCGAAAACCUUCCGGUAAUCAAAUGAGGUCAUCCUAUAUAUCAAUCUUCGUCUUUGGACCAUUCCGGAAACCCUCGUGACGUCCGUGAUCUCAUCCGGGACUCCGAACAACAUUCGGUAACCAACCAUAUAACUCAAAUACGCAUAAAACAACGUCGAACCUUAAGUGUGCAGACCCUGCGGGUUCGAGAACUAUGUAGACAUGACCCGAGAGACUCCUCGGUCAAUAUCCAAUAGCGGGACCUGGAUGCCCAUAUUGGAUCCUACAUAUUCUCCGAAGAUCUUAUCGGUUGAACCUCAGUGCCACGGAUUCAUAUAAUCACGUAUGUCAUUCCCUUUGUCCUUCGGUAUGUUACUUGCUCGAGAUUCGACCGUCAGUAUCCGCGUACCUAUUUCAAUAUCGUUUACCGGCAAGUCUCUUUACUCGUUCCGUAAUACAAGAUCCCGUAACUUACACUAAGUCACAUUGCUUGCAAGGCUUGUGUAUGAUGUUGUAUUACCGAGUGGGCCCCGAGACACCUCUCCGUCACAUGGAGUGACAAAUCCCAGUCUCGAUCUAUACUAACUCAACGAACACCUUCGGAGAUACCCGUAGAGCAUCUUUACAGUCACCCAGUUACGUUGCGAUGUUUGAUACACACAAAGCAUUCCUCCAGUGUCAGUGAGUUAUAUGAUCUCAUGGUCAUAGGAAUAAAUACUUGACACGCACAAAACAGUAGCAACAAAAUGACACGAUCAAUAUGCUACGUUUAUUAGUUUGGGUCUAGUCCAUCACAUGAUUCUCCUAAUGAUGUGAUCCCGUUAUCAAGUAACAACACUUGCCUAUGGUCAGGAAACCUUGACCAUCUUUGAUCAACGAGCUAGUCAACUAGAGGCUUACUAGGGACAGUGUUUUGUCUAUGUAUCCACACAAGUAUUGUGUUUCCAAUCAAUACAAUUAUAGCAUGGACAAUAAACGAUUAUCAUGAACAAAGAAAUAUAAUAAUAACUAAUUUAUUAUUGCCUCUAGGGCAUAUUUCCAACAGCCUCCCACUUGCACUAGAGUCAAUAAUCUAGUUCACAUCACCAUGUGAUUCUAACGAAUCCAACACCCAUAUAGUUCUGGGGUCUGAUCACGUCUUGCUCGUGAGAGAGGUUUUAGUCAACGGUUCUGAAACUUUCAGAUCCGUGUGUUCUUUACAAAUCUUUAUGUCAUCUUAUAGAUGCUGCUACUACGUGCUAUUUGGAAAUACUCCAAAUAUCUACUCUACUAUACGAAUCCGUUUCACUACUCAUAGUUAUUUGGAUUAGUGUCAAAGCUUGCAUCGACGUAACCCUUUACGACGAACUCUUUAACCACCUCCAUAAUCGAGAAAAAUUCCUUAGCCCAUUUAGUUACUAAGGAUAACUUUGACCGCUGAUCAGUGAUUCAAUCCUGGAUCACUCUCUCUACCUCUUAACAGACUUGCUGCAAGGCACACAUCAGGUGCGGUACUCAGCAUGACAUACUUUAGAGUCUACGACUAAGGCAUAGAAGACGACAUUCGUCUAUUCUCUUUAUUUUGCCGUGGUCGGGUUUUGAGUCUUACUCAAAUUCACACCUUACAACACAGUCAAGAACUCCUUCUUUGCUAAUCUAUUUUGAACUCCUUCAAAAACUUGUCAAGGCAUGCAUCUUGUUGAAACUUCUAUUAAGCGUUUCAAUCUAUCUCCAUAGAUCUUGAUGCUCAACGUUCAAGUAGCUCAAUCCAAGUAUUCCUUUUAAAAACUCCUUUCAAACAACCUUGUAUGCUUUUCAGAAAUUCUACAUUACUUUCGAUCAACAAUAUGUCAACCACGUAUACUUAUCAGAAAUUCUAUAGUGCUCCCACUCACUUCUUUGGAAAUACAAGUUUCUCAUAAACCUUGUACAAACCCAAAAUCUUUGAUCAUCUCAUCAAAGUGUAUAUUGCAACUCCGAGAUGCUUGCACCAGUCCAUUGAAGGAUCGCUGGAGCUUGCAUACUUGCUAGUAUCCUUAGGAUCGACAAAACCUUCUGGUUGUAUCAUAUAAAUCUUUCUCAAGGAAACCGUCGAGGAAACAAUGUUUUGUCUUCCUAUGUGCAAUACUUCACAAAUAAUGCAGCAACUACUAACAUAAUUCCAACAGACUUUUAGCAUCGCUACGAGUGAGAAAGUCUCAUCAUAGUCAACUAUUUGAUCUUGCGGAAACAUCUUUGCGACAAGUCGAGCUUUUCUUAAUAGUGACGAUUCACCAUCAUCGUCUCUCUUCCUUAUAAAGAUCCAUCUUUACUUAAUAGCCCUACGACCAUCAAGUUCUUCCAAAGUCUAUACUUUGUUCUCACAUAUGGAUUCUCUCUCGAAUUUCAUGGCCUCCAGCCAUUUGUCGGAAUCCGGGCCCACCAUUGCUUCUCUAUAACUUGUAGGUUCAUUGUUGUUUAACAACAUGACCUCCAAGACAGGGUUACCGUACCGCUCUGUAGUAGUAUGCGACCUUGUCGACCUACGAGGUUUGUAGUAACUUGAUCCAAUGCUUAAUGAUCACCAUCAUCAACUUCCACUUCAAUUAGUGUAGGCGCCACACGAACAACGUCUUGCGCCCUGCUACACACUGGUUGAAGUGAUGGUUCAAUAACCUCAUCAAGUUCUACCACCCUCCCACUCAAUUUUUUUGAGAAAAACCUUUCCUCGAGAAAGGAUCCGUUUCUAGAAACAAACACUUUGCUUCAGGAUCUGAGAUAGGAAAUGUAUCCAACUGUUUUGGAUAUCCUAUGAAGAUGCUUUCAUCCGCUUUGGGUUCGAGCUUAUCAGAGUGAAACCUUUUUCACAUAAGCAUCACAGCCCCAAACUUUCAAGAAACGACAGCUUAGAUUUCUCUAAACCUUAAUCUAUACAGUGUCAUCUCAACGGAAAUACGCGGUGCCCUUUUUAAUGUGAAUGCGGUUGUCUCUAAUGCAUAACCCAUAAACGAUAGUGGUAAUUCGAUAAGAGACAUCAUAGUAUGCACCAUAUCAAAUAGGGCGUGGCUAUGACGUUCAAACACAUCAUCACACUAUGGUAUUCCAGGUGGCAUGAACUGCGAAACAAUUUCCACAUUGUCUUAACUGCGUACCAAAUCUCGUAACUCAGAUAUUCAUUUCUAUGAUCAUAUCGUAGACAGUUUAUCCUCUUGUUACGACGAACUUCACUUUGAAACAGAAUUGAACUUUUCAAUAUUUCAGACUUUGUGAAUCAUCAAGUAAAUACUCCUGUAUCUACUCAAAUCGUUAGUGAAGUAAGAACAUAACGAUAUCCACUGCGUGCCUUAGCACUCAUUGGACUAUACACAUCAAAAAUGUAUUAUUCCCAACAAGUUACUCUCUUCUUUCAUGUGGCAUGUUUUGCAUGUCUCAAGUGAUUCAAAAUCAAGCGAGUCCAAAUGAUCCAUCUCUCAUGGAGUUUCUUCAUGCAUUUAUACCAACAGGUAUGGUUUGCAUGUCUCAAACGUUUCAAAAAUGAGUGAGUACAAAGAUCCAUCAGCAUGGAGCUUCUACAUGCAUUUUAUACCAACAUGACUCAAGUGGCAGUGCCACAACUAAGUGGUACUAUCAUUAUUACUUUGUAUAUUUGGCACUAAUAUUAUGAACAUGUGUAACACUAUGAUAGAGAUUCAAUAAACCAUUGAGGGUAAUUAUUCAAGCAAAUAGAACAACUAUUAUUCUCUUUAAAUGAAUAAUCGUAUUGCAAUAAACAUGAUCCAAUCAUGUUCAUGCUCAACGCAAACACCAAAUAACAAUUAUUUAGGUUUUACCAUCAAUCCCGAUGAUAGAGGGAGCGUGCGACGUUUGAUCACAUCAACCUUGGAAACACUUUCAACACUUAUCGUCACCUCGCCUUUAGCUAGUCUCCUUUUAUACCGUAGCUUUCAUUUCGUGUUACUAAUCACUUAGCAACCGAACCGGUAUCCAAUACCCUUGCGCUACUAGGAGUACUAGUAAAGUACACAUCUACUUCAUGUAUAUCAAAUAUACUUCUUUCGACUUUGCGAGCCUUCUUAUCUACCAAGUAUCUAGAGUUGCUCCGCCUAAGUGACUGUUCCCCUCAUAACAGAAGCACUUUGUCUCGGGUUUGGGUUUAUUCUUGAGUCUCUUCAUUAGUGCAGCAAUUGUUACUGUUUCCUGUUAAUACAAUUAUAGCAUGAACAAUAGACGAUUAUCAUGAACAAGGAAAUAUGACAAUAACCAUUUUAUUAUUGCCUCUAGUGCAUAUUUCCAACAAUCUCCCACUUGCACUAGAGUCAAUAAUCUAGUUACAUUGUGAUGUAUCGAACACCCAUAGCAUUAUGGUGUUGAUCAUGUUUUGCUCGUGGAAGAGGUUUAGUCAACGGGUCUGCAAUAUUCAGAUCUGUGUGUACUUUAAAGGAGGCACAAUGCUCCCCAAGAUGCCACUAAGGCCGCCGUAAUCUCCUCACGCCCUUGCACAAUGCAAGAUGUCGUGAUUCCACUAGGGGACCCUUGAGGCGGUCACCGAACCCGUACAACAAGGUUGGGGCAAGUCUCCGCACUUAAUUGGAGGCUACCCNNNNNNNNNNNNNNNNNNNNNNNNNNNNNNNNNNNNNNNNNNNNNNNNNNNNNNNNNNNNNNNNNNNNNNNNNNNNNNNNNNNNNNNNNNNNNNNNNNNNUUCCUUGUUCAUGAUAAUCGUCUAUUGUUCAUGCUAUAAUUGUAUUAACAGGAAACAGUAAUACAUGUGUGAAUAAAUAGAUCACAAUGUGUCCCUAGCAAGCCUCUAGUUGGCUAGCUCGUUAGUCAAUAGAUGAUCAUGGUUUCCUGAUCAUGGGCAUUAGAUGUCAUUGAUAACGGGAUCACAUCAUUGGGAGAAUGAUGUGAUGGACAAGACCCAAUCUUAAGCAUAGCACUAGAUCGUAUUGUUCAUAUGCUAAAGCUUUUCUAAUGUCAAGUAUAUUUUCCUUUGACCGUGAGAUUGUGCAACUCCCGGAUACCGUAGGAGUGCUUUGGGUGUAUCAAACGUCACAACGUAACUGGGUGACUAUAAAGGUGCACUACGGGUACCUCCGAAAGUGUCUGUUGGGUUGGUACAAAUCGAGAUCGGGAUUUGUCACUCCGUGUGACGGAGAGGUAUCUCUGGGCCCACUCGGUAGAACAUCAUCAUGAGCUCAAUGUGACUAAGGAGUUAUUCACACGAUGAUGUGCUACGGAACGAGUAAAGAGACUUACCGGUAACGAGAUUGAACAAGGUAUAGGUAUACCGACGAUCGAAUCUCGGGCAAGUUCUAUACCGACAGACAAACGGAAUCGUAUACGGGAUUAAUUGAAUCCUUGACAUCGUGGUUCAUCCGAUGAGAUCAUCGUGGAGCAAGUGGGAGCCACCAUGGGUAUCCAGACCCCGCUGAUGGUUAUUGGCCGGAGAGGCGUCUCGGUCAUGUCUGCCUGUCUCCUGAACCCGUAGGGUCUACACACUUAAGGUUCGAUGACGCUAGGAUUAUAGGGAAUUGUUAUACGAGGUUACCGAAAGUUGUUCGGAGUCCCGGAUGAGAUCCCGGAUGUCACGAGGAGCUCCGGAAUGGUCCGGAGGUAAAUAUUGAUAUAUAGGACGUAUGGUUUCGGAUACCGAAAGUGUUUUGGGCAUCACCGGGACCACCGGGACUACCGGAGGUGGCCCCGGGGGUCCACCAAAGGGGGGCAACGACCCCGGGAGGUAAGGUGGGCCAAGUGGGGAAGGGAACCAGCCCCUAGGUGGGCUGGUGCGCCUCCUCACUCAGCCCGAUGCGUGGGGGAGAGAAAAGGGGGGCAAACCCUAAGCCAGGUGGGUCUAAGGCCCACCAGGUGGUGCGCCACCCCUCCCCACCCUAGCCGCCGCCCCCUUUCCCAUCUGGUGGCCGCCGGCCCCUAGGGAGGGAACCCUAGGGGUGGCGCAGCCCCUCCCCCUCCUCCUAUAAAUAGAGAGGGGUUUUUGGCCCUUGGGAGACAGACUUCUCCCUCUCCCUCGGCGCAGCCCUGCCCUUCUUUCUCCUCAUCUCUGCCGAUGCUUGGCGAAGCCCUGCCGGGAGACCUCGUCUCUCCAUCGACACCACGCCGUCGUGCUGCUGGAGUUCUUCCCCAACCUCUCCCUCCUCCUUGCUGGAUCAAGGUGCGGGAGACGUCACCGGGCUGCACGUGUGUUGAACGCGGAGGUGCCGUAGUUCGGCACUAGAUCAGAAUCACACCGCGAUCCGAAUCGCUGCGAGUACGACUCCAUCAACCGCGUUCUAGUAACGCUUCCGCUUAGCGAUCUUCAAAGGUAUGAAGAUUCUCUUACCCCUCUCUCGUUGCUGGUCUCUCCAUAGGAAGAUCUGAAUAUGCGUAGGAAAUUUUUGAAUUUAUGCUACGUUACCCAAAAGUGGCAUCCGAGCCAGGUUUUCUAUGCGUAGAUACUAUGCACGAGCGGAACACAAAAGUUGUGGGCGAUGAUGUGUCAAUUUGCUUGCCGCUACUAGUCUUAUUCUUUUCCGACGGUAUUGUGGGAUGAAGCGGCCCGGACCGACUUUACACGUACGCUUACGUGAGAUUGGUUCCACCGACAGACAUGCACACCGUGCAUAAAGGUGGCUAGCGGGUGUCUGUCUCUCCUACUCUAGUCGGAUUGGAUUUGAUGAAAAGGGUCCUUAUGAAGGGUAAAUAGCUUUGGCAUAUCAUCGUUGUGUCUGUCACGUAGGUAAGAAGGCGUUCUUGCUAGAAACCCAAAUCAGCCACGUAAAACUUGCAACAACAAUUAGAGGACGUCUAACUUGUUUUUGCAGGGUUUGACAUGUGAUGUGAUAUGGCCAAAGUUGUGAUGUUGCAUGUAUGAUGUAUGAGAUGAUCAUGUUAUUGUAAUAGGUUUCACGACUUGCAUGUCGAUGAGUAUGACAACCGGCAGGAGCCAUAGGAGUUGUCUUAAUUUAUUGUAUGAGAUGCAACGCCAUGUGCUUACUACUUUUACUUCAUUGCUAACGGUUAGCUAUAGUAGUAGUGAUAGUAGUAGUUGGCGUGAUGACUUCGCGGAGACACGAUGAUGGAGAUCAUGGUGUCACGCUGGUGACGAUGAUGAUCAUGUGAUGCCUGAAGAUGGAGAUCGAAAGAGCAAAGAUGAUAAUGGCCAUAUCAUGUCACUAUAUGAUUGCAUUGUGAUGUUUAUCAUGUUUUACAUCUUAUUGCUUAGAACGACGGUAGAAUAAUAAGAUGACCCCUCUUAAAAUUUCGAGAACGUAUUCCCCUAAGUGUGCACCGUUGCGAAGGUUCGUUGUCUCGAAGCACCAUGUGAUGAUCGGGUGUGAUAGAUUCUAACGUUCGCAUACAACGGGUGUAAGCCAGAUUUACACACGCGAAACACCUAGGUUGACUCGACGAGCUUAGCAUGUACAGACAUGACCUCGAAUACAAGAGACCGAAAGGUCGAACAUGAGUCGUAUGGUUGAAUAUGAUCAGCAUGAAGUUGCUCACCAUGGUGACUAGUCCGUCUCACGUGAUGAUCGGACACGGGUUAGUCAACAUGGAUCAUGUAUCACUUAGAUGACUAGAGGGAUGUCAAUUUAAGUGGGAGUUCAUACUUAAUUUGAUUAAAUGAACUUAAUUGUCAUGAACUUAGUCUAAAAGUUGUCUUUGUAAAUAUUGUAGAUGGCCAACGUCAACCUCAAUUUCAACGCAUUCCUAGAGAAAAACAAGCGGAAAUAUGAUGGUAGCAACUAUGCGGACUGGGUUCGCAACUUGAAGCUCAUCCUUGAAGUAGCCAAAAAGGCUUAUGUCCUUGAUGCGCCGCUAGGUGACCCUCCCGCUCCCGCAGCAGCCCAGGACAUUCUGAACGUCUGGCAAACACGGAGUGAUGACUACUCUCUGGUUAGGUGUGGCAUGUUAUACAGUUUAGAAACGGGGCUCCAAUGGCGUUUUGAGCAACACGGGGCAUAUGAGAUGUUCCAGGAGCUGAAGCUAGUUUUUCAAGCUCAUGCCCGUGUCGAGAGAUAUGAAGUCUCCGACAAGUUCUUUAGCUGUAAGAUGGAGGAGAACAGUUCUAUCAGUGAGCACAUACUCAAAAUGUCUGGGUUACACGGUCGUCUGACUUCACUUGGAGUCGAACUUCCGGAUGAUGCUAUAAUUGACAGAAUCCUCCAGUCUCUCCCACCAAGCUACAAAGGCUUUGUGCUUAACUACAACAUGCAAGGGAUGGAAAAGACCAUUCCCGAGUUGUACUCGAUGCUCAAGUCUGCAGAAGUAGAAAUCAAGAAAGAGCAUCAAGUGUUGAUGGUCAACAAGACCACUAGUUUCAAGAAAGGCAAGGGUAAGAAGAACUUCAAGAAAGAAGACAAAGAUGUUGCCGCGCCCGGUAAGCCAGAUGCCGGGAAGAAGAAAAAGAAUGGACCCAAGCCUGAGACUGAGUGCUUCUAUUGCAAGGGAAAAGGUCACUCGAAGCGGAACUGCCCCAAAUACUUAGCGGACAAGAAGGCCGGCAACGUUAAAGGUAUAUGUGAUAUACAUGUUAUUGAUGUGUACCUUACCAGCGCUCGUAGUAGCUCCUGGGUAUUUGAUACCGGUGCUUUUGCUCACAUUUGCAACUCAAAGCAGGAACUGCGGAAUAAGCGGAGACUGUCCAAGGACGAGGUGACGAUGCGCGUCGGGAAUGGUUCAAAGGUCGAUGUGAUCGCCGUCGGCACGCUACCUCUACAUCUACCGUCGGGAUUUGUUUUAAACCUUAAUAAUUGUUAUUUAGUACCAGCUUUAAGCAUGAACAUUGUAUCAGGGUCUUACUUAAUGCGAGACGGCUACUCAUUUAAGUCAGAGAAUAAUGGUUGUUCUAUUUAUAUGAGUGAUAUGUUUUAUGGUCAUGCUCCGCUGGUGAAUGGUUUAUUCUUGAUGAAUCUCGAUCGUGAUGUUACGAAUAUUCAUAGUGUGAGUACCAAAAGAUGUAAAGUUGAUAAUGAUAGUCCCACAUACUUGUGGCACUGCCGCCUUGGUCAUAUCGGCAUUAAGCGCAUGAAGAAGCUCCAUAUUGAUGGACUUUGAAUCAUUUGACACAUGCGAACCGUGCCUCAUGGGGAAUAUGACUAAGACUCCAUUCUCAGGAAUAAUGGAGNNNNNNNNNNNNNNNNNNNNNNNNNNNNNNNNNNNNNNNNNNNNNNNNNNNNNNNNNNNNNNNNNNNNNNNNNNNNNNNNNNNNNNNNNNNNNNNNNNNNCUGACGUGAGAACNCAAAAGGUUNUGGGCGAUGAUUUGUCAAUUGCUUGCCGCUACUAGUCUUAUCUUYUSMMGYGGUAUUGUGGGAUGAAGCGGCCCGGACCGACCUUACAUGUACGCUUACGUGAGACUGGUUCCACCGACAGACAUGCACACCGUGCAUAAAGGUGGCUAGCGGGUGUCUGUCUCUCCUACCCUAGUCGGAUUGGAUUUGAUGAAAAGGGUCCUUAUGAAGGGUAAAUAUCUUUGGCAUAUCAUCGUUGUGGCUGUCACAUAGGUAAGAAAGCGUUCUUGCUAGAAACCCAAAUCAGCCACGUAAAACUUGCAACAACAAUUAGAGGACGUCUAACUUGUUUUUGCAGGGUUUGACAUGUGAUGUGAUAUGGCCAAAGUUGUGAUGUUGCAUGUGUGAUGUAUGAGCUGAUCAUGUUAUUGUAAUAGGUUUCACGACUUGCAUGUCGAUGAGUAUGAAAAUCGGCAGGAGCCAUAGGAUUUGUCUUAAUUUAUUGUAUGAGAUGCAACGCCAUGUGCUUACUACUUUUACUUCAUUGCUAACGGUUAGCUUUAGUAGUAGUGAUAGUAGUAGUUGGCGUGAUGACUUCACGGAGACACGAUGAUGAAGAUCAUGAUGAUGGAGAUCAUGGUGUCACGCCGGUGACGAUGAUGAUCAUGCGAUGCCUGAAGAUGGAGAUCGAAAGAGCAAAGAUGAUAAUGGCCAUAUCAUGUCACUAUAUGAUUGCAUUGUGAUGUUUAUCAUGUUUUUCAUCUUAUUGCUUAGAACAACGGUAGCAUAAUAAGAUGAUCCCUCUUAAAAUUUCAAGAACGUAUUCCCCUAAGUGUGCACCAUUGCGAAGGAUCGUUGUCUCGAAGCACCACGUGAUGAUCGGGUGUGAUAGAUUCUAACGUUCGCAUACAACGGGUCUAAGCCAGAUUUACACACGCGAAACACCUAGGUUGACUCGACGAGCUUAGCAUGUACAGACAUGACCUCGAAUACAAGAGACCGAAAGGUCGAACAUGAGUCGUAUGGUUGAAUACAAUCAGAUGAAGUUGCUCACCAUGGUGACUAGUCCGUCUCACGUGAUGAUCGGACACGGGUUAUUCAACAUGGAUCAUGUAUCACUUAGAUGACUAGAGGGAUGUCGAUUUAAGUGGGAGUUCAUACUUAAUUUGAUUAAAUGAACUUAAUUGUCAUGAACUUAGUCUAAAAAUUGUCUUUAUAAAUAUUGUAGAUGGCCAACGUCAACCUCAAUUUCAACGCAUUCCUAGAGAAAAACAAGCUGAAAGAUUAUGCUAGCAACUAUGCGGACUGGGUUCGCAACUUGAAGCUCAUCCUUGAAGCAGCUAAAAAGGCUUAUGUCCUUGAUGCGCCGCUAGGUGACCCUUCCGCUCCCGCAGAAGCCUGGGACAUUCUGAACGUCUGGCAAACGCGGAGUGAUGACUACUCUCUCGUUAGGUGUGGCAUGUUAUACAAUUUAGAAACGGGGCUCCAAAGGCAUUUUGAGCAACAGUGUGCAUAUGAGAUGUUCCAAGAGCUAAAGCUAGUUUUUCAAGCUCAUGCCCGUGUCGAGAGAUAUGAAGUCUCCGACAAGUUCUUUAGCUGUAAGAUGAAGGAGAACAGUUCUGUCAGUGAGCACAUACUCAAAAUGUCUGGGUUACACGGUCGUGUGACUUCACUUGGAGUCGAACUUCCGGAUGAUGCUAUAAUUGACAAAAUCCUCCAGUCUCUCCCACCAAGCUACAAAGGCUUUGUGCUUAACUACAACAUGCAAGGGAUGGAGAAGACCAUUCCCGAGUUGUACUCGAUGCUCAAGUCUGCAGAAGUAGAAAUCAAGAAAGAGCAUCAAGUGUUGAUGGUCGACAAGACCACUAGUUUCAAGAAGGGCAAGGGUAAGAAGAACUUCAAGAAAGAUGGCAAAGUUGUUGCCGCGCCCGGUAAGCCAUAUGCCGGGAAUAAGAAAAAGAAUGGACCCAAGCCUGAGACUGAGUGCUUCUAUUGCAAGGGAAAAGGUCACUGGAAGCGGAACUGCCCCAAAUACUUAGCGGACAAGAAGGCCGGCAACGUUAAAGGUAUAUGUGAUAUACAUGUUAUUGAUGUGUACCUUACCAGUGCUCGUAGUAGCUCCUGGGUAUUUGAUACCGAUGAUGUUUCUCACAUUUGCAACUCAAAGCAGGAACUGCAGAAUAAGCGGAGACUGGCAAAGGACGAGGUGAUGAUGCGCGUCGGGAAUGGCUCCAAGGUCGAUGUGAUAGCCGUCGGAACGUUACCUCUACAUCUACCAUCGGGAUUAGUUUUAAACCUUAAUAACUGUUAUUUAGUAGCAGCUUUAAGCAUGAACAUUGUAUCAGGGUCUUGCUUAAUGCGAGACGGCUACUCAUUUAAGUCAGAGAAUAAUGGUUGUUCUAUUUAUAUGAGUGAUAUGUUUUAUGGUCAUGCUCCGCUGGUGAAUGGUUUAUUCUUGAUGAAUCUCGAUCGUGAUGUUACGCAUAUUCAUAGUGUGAGUACCAAAAUAUGUAAAGUUGAUAAUGAUAGUCCCACAUACUUGUGGCACUACCGCCUUGGUCAUAUCGGCGUUAAGCGCAUGAAGUAGCUCCAUACUGAUGGACUAUUAGAGUCUCUUGAUUUUGAAUCAUUUGACACAUGUGAACCGUGCCUCAUGGGCAAGAUGACUAAGACUCCAUUCUCAGGAAUAAUGGAGAGAGCAACCGACUUAUUGGAAAUAAUACAUACUGAUGUGUGUGGUCCAAUGAACGUUGAAGCUCGCGGUGGCUAUCGUUAUGUUCUCACUCUCACCGAUGAUUUGAGUAGGUAUGGGUAUAUCUACUUGAUGAAGCACAAAUCUGAGACAUUUGUAAAGUUCAAGGAAUUUCAGAGUGAGGUCAAGAAUCAACGUGACAGAAAAAUUAAGUGUCUACGAUCUCAUCGUGGAGGAGAAUAUUUGAGUCACGAGUUUGGCACACACCUAAGGAAGUGUGGAAUCGUUUCACAACUGACGCCGCCUGGCACACCGCAACGCAACGGAGUGUCUGAACAUUGUAAUUGCACCUUAUUAUAUAUGGUACGAUCUAUGAUGUCUCUUAUCGACUUACCGCUAUCAUUUUGGGGAUACGCAUUAGAAACUGUAGCAUUCACUUGAAAUAGGGCACCGUCUAAAUCCGUUGAGACGACACCGUAUGAACUAUGGUUUGGCAAGAAACCUAAGUUGUCGUUUCUUAAAGUUUGGGGCUGCGAUGCUUAUGUGAAGAAACUUCAACCAGAAAAGCUCGAACCCAAAGCGGAGAAAUGCGUAUUCAUAGGAUACCCUAAGGAAACUAUUGGGUAUACCUUCUAUCUUAGAUCCGAAGGUAAAACCUUUGUUGCCAAGAACGGAUCCUUUCUAGAGAAAGAGUUUCUCUCGAAAGAAGUAAGUGGGAGGAAGGUAGAACUUGAUGAGGUAAUUACACCCCCUCUUGAACAGGAUAGUAGCGCAGCGCGGGAAGUUGUUCCUGUGGCGCCUACACCAACUGAAGAGGAAGUUAAUGAUAAUGAUCAUGAAGCUUCGGAUCAAGUUACUAAUGAACCGCGAAGGUCCACAAGGGCACGCUCCGCACCAGAGUGGUACGGCAACCCUGUGAUGGAAAUCAUGUUGUUAGACAACGGUGACCCUUCGAACUAUGAAGAAACGAUGGCACGUCAGNNNNNNNNNNNNNNNNNNNNNNNNNNNNNNNNNNNNNNNNNNNNNNNNNNNNNNNNNNNNNNNNNNNNNNNNNNNNNNNNNNNNNNNNNNNNNNNNNNNNCCUAAGUGACUGUUCCCCUCAUAACAGAAGCUACUUUGUCUCGGGUUUGGGUUUAUUCUUGAGUCUCUUCAUUAGUGCAGCAAUUGUUACUGUUUCCUGUUAAUACAAUUAUAGCAUGAACAAUAGACGAUUAUCAUGAACAAGGAAAUAUGACAAUAACCAUUUUAUUAUUGCCUCUAGUGCAUAUUUCCAACAAUCUCCCACUUGCACUAGAGUCAAUAAUCUAGUUACAUUGUGAUGUAUCGAACACCCAUAGCAUUAUGGUGUUGAUCAUGUUUUGCUCGUGGAAGAGGUUUAGUCAACGGGUCUGCAAUAUUCAGAUCUGUGUGUACUUUAAAAAUAUCUAUCACUCCACUCUGGACAUGGUCCUGGAUGGAGUUGUAGCGGCGUUUGAUGUGCUUCGUCUUCCGGUGAAACCUGGGCUCCUUGGCAAUGGAAAUGGCCCCAGUGUUAUCACACAAGAGUGUCAUUGGACCCGACGGGCUUGGAACCACUCCAAGGUCGGUGAUGAGCUCCUUCAUCCAAAUUCCUUCAUGAGCCGCUUCUGAAGCAGCUAUGUACUCUGCUUCACAUGUAGACGCUACCACGACUUCUUGCUUGCUGCUGCACCAGCUCACUGCCCCACUAUUCAAAACAUAUACAUAUCCGGUCUGUGACUUAGAGUCAUACGGAUCUGUGUCAAAGCUAGCGUCGACAUAACCCUUUACGACGAGCUCUUCGUCACCUCCAUAAACGAGAAACAUUUCCUUAGUCCUUUUCAGGUACUUAAGGAUAUUCUUGACCGCCGUCCAGUGUUCCAUACCGGGAUCACUUUGGUACCUCCCUACCAAACUUAUGGCAAGGUUUAUAUCAGGUCUGGUACACAGCAUGACAUACAUAAGAGAGCCUAUGGCUGAAGCAUAGGGGACAAAACUCAUCUUCUCUCUAUCUGCUGCCGUGGUCGGCGACUGAGUCUUANNNNNNNNNNNNNNNNNNNNNNNNNNNNNNNNNNNNNNNNNNNNNNNNNNNNNNNNNNNNNNNNNNNNNNNNNNNNNNNNNNNNNNNNNNNNNNNNNNNNUUAAGGUUUAAAACUAAUCCCGACGGUAGAUGUAGAGGUAGCGUGCCGACGGCGAUCACAUCGACCUUUGAGCCAUUCCCGACGCGCAUCGUCACCUCGUCCUUGGCCAGUCUCCGCUUAUUCCGCAGUUCCUGCUUUGAGUUGCAAAUGUGAGCAACAGCACCGGUAUCAAAUACCCAGGAGCUACUACGAGCGCUGGUAAGGUACACAUCAAUAACAUGUAUAUCAUAUAUACCUUUAACGUUGCCGGCCUUCUUGUCCGCUAAGUAUUUGGGGCAGUUCCGCUUCGAGUGACCUUUUCCCUUGCAGUAGAAGCACUCAGUCUCAGGCUUGGGUCCGUUCUUUUUCUUCUUCCCGGCAUCUGGCUUACCGGGCGCGGCAACAUCUUUGCCGUCUUUCUUGAAGUUCUUCUUACCCCUGCCUUUCUUGAAACUAGUGGUCUUGUUGACCAUCAACACUUGAUGCUCCUUCUUGAUUUCUACUUCUGCAGACUUGAGCAUCGAGUACAACUCGGGAAUGGUUUUCUCCAUCCCUUGCAUGUUGUAGUUAAGCACAAAGCCUUUGUAGCUUGGUGGGAGAGACUGGAGGAUUCUGUCAAUGAUAGCAUCAUCCGGAAGUUCGACUCCAAGUGAAGUCAGACGACCAUGUAACCCAGACAUUUUGAGUAUGUGCUCACUGACAGAACUGUUCUCCUCCAUCUUACAGCUGAAGAACUUGUCGGAGACUUCAUAUCUCUCGACACGGGCAUGAGCUUGAAAAACUAGCUUCAGCUCUUGGAACAUCUCAUAUGCUCCGUGUUGCUCAAAACGUCUUUGGAGCCCCGUUUCUAAACUGUAUAACAUGCCACACCUGACCAGAGAGUAGUCAUCACUCCGCGCUUGCCAAACGUUUAGAACGUCCUGGGCUGCUGCGGGAGCGGGAGGGUCACCUAGCGGCGCAUUAAGGACAUAAGCCUUUUUAGCUGCUUCAAGGAUGAGCUUCAGGUUGCGAACCCAGUCCGCAUAGUUGCUACCAUCAUCUUUCAGCUUGUUUUUCUCUAGGAAUGCGUUGAAGUUGAGGUUGACGUUGGACAUCUACAAUAUUCAUAAAGACAACUUUUAGACUAAGUUCAAGACAAUUAAGUUCAUUUAAUCAAAUUAAGUAUGAACUCCCACUUAAAUCGACAUCCCUCUAGUCAUCUAAGUGAUACAUGAUCCAUGUUGACUAACCCGUGUCCGAUCAUCACGUGAGACGGACUAGUCACCAUGGUGAGCAACUUCAUGCUGAUCGUAUUCAACCAUACGACUCAUGUUCGACCUUUCGGUCUCUUGUAUUCGAGGUCAUGUCUGUACAUGCUAAGCUCGUCGAGUCAACCUAAGUGUUUUGCGUGUGUAAAUCUGGCUUACACCCGUUGUAUGCGAACGUUAGAAUCUAUCACACCCGAUCAUCACGUGGUGCUUCGAGACAACGAACCUUCACAACGGUGCACACUUAGGGGAAUACGUUCUCAAAAUUUUAGGAGGGAUCAUCUUAUUAUGCUACCGUCGUUUUAAGCAAUAAGAUGUAAAACAUGAUAAACAUCACAAUGCAAUCAUAUAGUGACAUGAUAUGGCCAUUAUCAUCUUUGCUCAUUCGAUCUCCAUCUUCAGGCAUCGCAUGAUCAUCAUCGUCACCGGCGUGACACCAUGAUCUCCAUCAUCGUGUCUUCGUGAAGUCGUCACGCCAACUACUAUUAUCACUACUACUAUGGCUAACCGUUAGCAAUGAAGUAAAAGUAGUAAGCACAUGGCUUUGCGUCUCAUACAAUAAAUUAAGACAACUCCUAUGGCUCCUGCCGGUUGUCAUACUCAUCGACAUGCAAGUCGUGAAACCUAUUACAAUAACAUGAUCAUCUCAUACAUCAUACAUGCAACAUCACAACUUUGGCCAUAUCACAUCACAUGUCAAACCCUGCAAAAACAAGUUAGACGUCCUCUAAUUGUUGUUGCAAGUUUUACGUGGCUGAUUUCGGUUUCUAGCAAGAACGCCUUCUUACCUACGUGACAGCCACAACAAUGAUAUGCCAAAGCUAUUUACCAUUCAUAAGUACCCUUUUCAUCAAAUCCAAUCCGACUAGAGUAGGAGAGACAGACACCCGCUAGCCACCUUUAUGCACGAUGUGCAUGUUUGUCGGUGGAACCAGUCUCACGUAAGCGUACGUGUAAGGUCGGUCCGGGCCGCUUCAUCCCACAAUACCGCCGGAAAAGAAUAAGACUAGUAACGGCAAGCAAAUUGACAAACCAUCGCCCACAACUUUUGUGUUCUACUCGUGCAUAGAAUCUACGCAUAGAAAACCUGGCUCGGAUGCCACUGUUGGGUAACGUAGCAUAAAUUCAAAAAAUUUCCUACGCAUGUUCAGAUCUUCCUAUGGAGAGACCAGCAACGAGAGAGGGGUAAGAGCAUCUUCGUACCUUUGAAGAUCGCUAAGCGGAAGCGUUGCUAGAACGCGGUUGAUGGAGUCGUACUCGCAGCGAUUCCGAUCUAGUGCCGAACAACGGCACCUCCGCGUUCAACACACGUGCAGCCCGGUGACGUCUCCCGCACCUUGAUCCAGCAAGGAGGAGGGAGAGGUUGGGGAAGAAGACCAGCAACACGACGGCGUGGUGUUGGUGGAGAGACGAGGUCUCCCGGCAGGGCUUCGCCAAGCGCCGGCAGAGAGGAGGAGGAAGAAGUGCAGGGCUGCGCCGAGGGAGAGGGAAAAAUGUGUCCUCCAAAGGCCAAAAGUGCCCACUAUAUAUAGGGGAAGGGGAGAGGGGGUGCCACCCCUAGGGUUCCCACCCUAGGGGGUGCGGCAGCCCUCCCAGAUGGGGAAAGUGGCGGCCAGAUGGGGAGGAGGGGGUGGCGCACCCCUCUGGUGGGCCUAAGGCCCACCUAAGUUAGGGUUCCCCCCCUCUUUUUUCUUCCCCUGCGCCAUGGGCUGAGUGGGGAGGCGCACCAGCCCAACUAGGGGCUGGUUCCCACCCCCACUUAGCCCAUCUUACCUCUUGGGGUCGCAGCCCCCCUUCGGUGGUCCCCCCGGGACCACCUCCGGUGGUCCCGGUACGUUACCGGUGAUGCCCGAAACACUUCCGGUGUCCGAAACCAUCCGUCCUAUAUAUCAAUAUUUACCUCCGGACCAUUCCGGAGCUCCUCGUGACGUCCGGGAUCUCAUCCGGGACUCCGAACAACUUUCGGUAAUCUCGUAUAACAAUUCCCUAUAACCCUAGCGUCAUCGAACCUUAAGUGUGUAGACCCUACGGGUUCGGGAGACAGGCAGACAUGACCGAGACACCUCUCUGGCCAAUAACCAUCAGCGGGGUCUGGAUACCCAUGGUGGCUCCCACUAGCUCCACGAUGAUCUCAUCGGAUGAACCACGAUGUCAAGGAUUCAAUCAAUCCCGUAUAUGAUUCCCUUUGUCUGUCGGUAUAGAACUUGCCCGAGAUUCGAUCGUCGGUAUACCUAUACCUUGUUCAAUCUCGUUACCGGUAAGUCUCUUUACUCGUUCCGUAGCACGUCAUCAUGUGACUAACUCCUUAGUCACAUUGAGCUCAUGAUGAUGUUCUACCGAGUGGGCCCAGAGAUCACSUCWSCNNNNNNNNNNNNNNNNNNNNNNNNNNNNNNNNNNNNNNNNNNNNNNNNNNNNNNNNNNNNNNNNNNNNNNNNNNNNNNNNNNNNNNNNNNNNNNNNNNNNCUGACGUGGGCAUCUUGAGCAACUCCAACCUUGUCACCCAUUUCUUGUGCCCAUGUUCUUUUAAUCUUUGCAAAUAAAAACGGUGACCCAGUUUCAAAUCAUUUCUCCUUCGUGUCCACGACGGUCCAUUUCGAUCUUAAAUUUAAACCAUAUUGAGAUCGGAGGCGGACGCAAAGCAGACUUUUUGCGUCCUCCUCGUUCGGKGYRUCGWCUMYYGCAUAUKUUCAUUUCAGAAAUCCACAUGGCAGCCAAACAUGAAAAUUGGAUUUGGGAACCAAAAUCCCACAAAAUGAAUUCUUUGCAGGUAAGUGUUUUCAUUUCAUUUUCCACCAAAUGAAAUGAAAGACCAGGUGCCAAACGAGCUGAUAGAGUUUAGAAGACAAUCAAUAUGUCGUAUAUACUUUCUAAAAACCUCAGUGGGGAAAACAGAAAAUAUGACAUAUGGUCUUGUGUUGAUAUUACCUCAUUCGUCGUCGUUUUCUCACGACACAAGUCAUGGGUAUUGAUGAAAAAGGGUACUUAUGAAUGGUAAAUAGCUUUGGCAUAUCAUUGUUGUGGCUGUCACGUAGGUAAGAAGGCGUUCUUGCUAGAAACCGAAAUCAGCCACGUAAAACUUGCAACAACAAUUAGAGGACGUCUAACUUGUUUUUGCAGGGUUUGACAUGUGAUGUGAUAUGGCCAAAGUUGUGAUGUUGCAUGUAUGAUGUAUGAGAUGAUCAUGUUAUUGUAAUAGGUUUCACGACUUGCAUGUCGAUGAGUAUGACAACCGGCAGGAGCCAUAGGAGUUGUCUUAAUUUAUUGUAUGAGACGCAAAGCCAUGUGCUUACUACUUUUACUUCAUUGCUAACGGUUAGCCAUAGUAGUAGUGAUAAUAGUAGUUGGCGUGACGACUUCACGAAGACACGAUGAUGGAGAUCAUGGUGUCACGCCGGUGACGAUGAUGAUCAUGCGAUGCCUGAAGAUGGAGAUCGAAUGAGCAAAGAUGAUAUGGNNNNNNNNNNNNNNNNNNNNNNNNNNNNNNNNNNNNNNNNNNNNNNNNNNNNNNNNNNNNNNNNNNNNNNNNNNNNNNNNNNNNNNNNNNNNNNNNNNNNGGCCAUUGAUGACGAGAUGAUGUAUAUACUWGUGAGGCCAUGGGGCAGGGCGGUCGGAGCAGUUGCGGGGGGAGGCGAGGAGCGGCAGCUAGCGGGGGGGAAGGGGAGAGCUCGCUAGAGCGAGGCGAGGUGGUGCGGCCGAGACGGGGCGUGCGGUGGCCGGGAACGCGAAGGGAGGGUCGGAGGCGGAGCUGUGGGGGCUACCGGAGUGAGGGGCGAGGUCGUCGGGAGGCAUCGACGACGGAUCCGGACGGAGGGGAGGAAGAGGAGGGGUGGUCGGGGCCUGUGUGCUCACCACCGAGCAGGGGAGGCAGAGGCUCGAGGGGGAGGACGUUAGCAUGGUGGCGAGGUGGAGGAGGAGGCAACCGGCGACGGAGGCGGUAGGCAGCGGCGGGAAGGAGGGCGCCGGCGUUGGUUGGCGACGUCGAUGGGGCCGGCGGGGAUGGGCCGGUUGGUGGGGUGGAGGCGGCACGCCGCCACGGGGAGCGGGUCACAGGGUUGGGGGGAGAAGUGUGGGG